AUAGCAUUCCUAGUUGGUUUUGGAAUUCACCCCUUCAAGUUCAAUAUUUCAAUCUUUCUCACAACCAAAUCCAUGGGCAGAUUCCUGAUAUACCUAGGACUGUAUUUGUAGAUUCCAUUAUUGACCUUAGUUUUAAUAAUUUUAGUGGUCCAUUACCAAGUUCCAAGCCCUUCAAUCACCAAGUUCCAAGAUAUAACAUUAUUCCCUGGCAUCUCCUCAAACACCUUCAACCCUUCCUCCAACAUUCCAUUCAUAAAAUACCCUCCAAGCAUUGCAUUCCACGUCACCACAUCAUGACCAUGCAUGAGCCCAGAUAUCACAGUGGUAUACGUAAAAAUAUCACGUUCUGGCAUUUGAUGGAAUAAGGCCGAGGCUUUACUUAAAAACCCAUUGAGAAAAUACCCACCAAUCAUUGAAUUCCAGGUGACAACGUUUUUUGCGAGGCAUUUUGUCAAACAGGUUCUGGGCUUGUUGGACAAGCCCAUUUUUCCUGAAAUUUGAGAUUUUGGAGCUGUGGGGUUUAAGGUUGGAGACUGUUGUGGAUGUUUGGUUGCUUUGAACGAAUGUUGGGGCCGAAAAAGAGAGGUGCCUGGCGACUUUUAUAGGAAAAGUUGGGUUUAGUUUAGGAAUGAACAUGCCCAAACCCAGAGAGCAAGAGAAAGGUGAACAAGACGGAUAAAAAAGAAAAGAGUGUGCAAUAUAAAAGAAAAGGGUUUAGUUCACAAUCGUACUCGUGUCAAUCAGUAAUUGGUCAGCAUAUAUAUUUGCAAAACAAACAACUGAACCUCAGGUUGAAUAUAUUAAAUAACUAGGCAACACCCUCAAGGAUUGUUUGGUACUAUUUUUUACAAGAUAAAACCAAGUUUAUGAUAUUUCAUUUAUUAUAAAUCGUCAUUUUUUAUAUUUAAAAUAUGUUUGGUUUCAUAUUUUUUUAGGCAAAGUUAUGUUUCCAUCAUUAUUUUAAAAUAUUAAUAUAUAUAAUAAUGAUUAAAUAUACAAAUAAGCUCUCAAAUUAUAUUAAGAAAGUUAAUUUAGCUUAUAUCAUUUUAUUACAUUCAAAUAAACCAUUGAAUUCUUAUGUUAAGUUAAAAUAAGCCUCCUUCACUAAUAGGUGACUAGUCAACAGUAUAGUCUAUAAAUUUUUAUACCACGUCAUCUGCCACGUGACAUGUUGAUGUGUCAUCUUGAUGAUAUCAAUGUCACGUUGCAUCAAAAAUUGUAGACUAAGAAUUGAGUUUUUUCCUUUUUAUCCAUCCAAAUAUCCAAAAAUGAUUAGUUAGGGAUUUGGAACAAAAAACUAAAAAAAAAAAGUAAUUGCUUUAAACGAUUACAAUCGUUUUUUAAUUAAUUAUCAUUUUCUUAAUUAAAACCAUCCUUCCUAACAAAAAAAUCUAAUCCAACUUUUUCAGUUCGAUUAAAACUAUUGUUGUUUGAUUGAAAAUUGGUAUAUAGAAAUUCAAGAAUACUCAAAUACGAUUUUAAGAAGAAGAAGAAGUCAAUAAUAGAUUCUCUCUUCACAUCUUUCAUAGUUUUAAGAAAUUCAAAACUACCAAAAGAACAAUUUUUAGAGAAGGAAUAGGAAUUGCAGAUAGAGAAAGGACAUUCUGACUAUAAGAGACAUUGGGUUUAAGGAAUGUUGAAAAAAGUGAAUAUUUCUUUGUGGACAACAGUGACUUUAAUCGAACUAGAAAAGUUGGAUUAGGUUUUUCUGUUAAAAACUAGGGCUUCAAUUAAGAUGGUUAUUAGUUAAUAAUAAUGAUAAUCAAUUUGAAGCAAUUAGUUUUUUUUUUAAUUUUUUGUUUCAAAUCCCUAACUAAUAAUUUUUGGAUAUUUAUAUACAUAAAAGGGAAAAAACCCAAUUCUUAGUUAAUAAUUUUUUAUAUCAUGUCAUCUGUCAUGUGAUAUUAAUGUCAUCAAAAUGACACAUUAAUAUGCUACGUGGUAGAUGACGUGGCAUAAAAAAUUACUAAUAGUAACAUUGACUAACUUCCUUAAUUAAUAGUUAGUGAAAGAGGUUUAUUUAACCCAAAAUAAGAGUUCAGGGAUUUAUUUUGACAUAAUAAAAAGAUAAAGAUUAAAUAAACUAUCUUGAUAUAAUUUGAGGAUUUAUUUAAAUAUUUGAUCUAAUAUAUAUAAUUUUGAAAAACUAUAUAUUUACGAAUAACAUGAAUAUCAAGGCAUUGGUAAUUAAUCAACAAUCUAUGUACACAUAAACAAGACCAAGACUUAGUGAAUUGAUAAAAAGAGGCUAACGUGUAGAAAAAGCAGUCCGAGAUAAGACAAACUAAGAAUUUCGCAAGAAAAAUAUAUGUUUUGCAUUGACUUUAUCUUCGUUUGGUAAGCCUGCAUCAUGGAGCUAAAAUGUUGUUGGAAAUUUUAUACCGAUGUUGAAGCUUGAACACUAUCAUUUACUACUGUUUGAUCAAGCCUAAAAGGCUUGGGUGUGCACCAAAAAGGGGUUUAGAAUUGUAAAAAGAAAAACAAACUAAUAAAGGUUUAGAACAGACAAAGCAUUAAAGCAUUUGAAAUUGAAAGCAAACGGUUGGAAAAUAGAGUAAUUAAGCAAUAACAUCAUAAUCUCCUGCUCUGUAGCUAUAUUGUUAAGUGACAGUUCAAACUGUUUUGCUUUUCAAAAGUCUCUCUUGUGCAAAAUGUUUUAGGCGUGACUGAUGGGUUAGACUUUUAAGGUGGAAUUUGAGAUUUUCACAUCCUCACAUUUUGAGAAUGUAAAAUCCGAGAAUACCCAACUAUAAUUUUGAGAAGAGGACGUCAACAAUAGUUUCUCGCUCUACAUCUUUCAUAGUUUUUGAAAUUUAAAACUACUUAAAAAAUAAUUUUAAAAAGAAAAAUAAGAAUUGCAGAUAUAGAGAAGACAUUCUGACUAUAAGGUACAUUGGUUUAGAGAAUGUAGAGAAAUACCAGAAUACCUAAAUACAAUUUUGAGGAUAAAAGUCAAUAAUAGAUUCUCUCUCUACAUCUUUCACAGUUUUAAAAAAUUCAAGACUAUCCAAAGAAUAAUUUUAGAAAAGGAAUAUGUAUUGCAAACAGGGAGAGGAUAUUCUGACUAUAAGAUAUGUUGGGUCGAGAGAAUGUUGAAGAAAGUGAAUAUUUCUUUGUGAGCACCAAUGGCUUGAAUCGAACCAAAAAGGUUGGAAUAUAUUUUUUUGUUAGGAUUGAUGACUCAAAUUAAGAAGAUGGUAAUUAGUUAAAAAAUAUUGAUAACCUGAUUGAAGCAAUUAGUUUUUUUUUUAAUUUUUUGUUUCAGAUUUCUAAUUAAUAAUUUUUUGACAUUUGGAUAGGUAAAAGAGAAAAAACUCAAUUCUUAAUAAGUAAUUUUUUAUUUCAUUUCAUCUGUCACAUGACAUUGACGUCAACAAAAUGACACAUCAAUAUGAUUAAAUUGACUUUCUUGAUAUAAUUUGAAGACUUUUUUAGAUAUUUAAUCUAAUAUAAUUUUAGAAGACUAUAUGUUUACGAAUAACUUGAACAUCAAGGCAUUGAUAAUUAAUCAACAAUCUAUGGUCCACGUGAACAAGACCAAGACUUAGAGAAUUGAUAAAAAGAGGCUACCGUGUAGAAAAAGCAGCCCGAGAUAAGACAAACUAAGAAUUUCGCAAGAAAAAUAUAUGUUUUGCGUUGACUUUGUCUUCUUUUGGUAAGCCUGCAUCAUGGAGCGAAAAUGUCGUUGGAAAUUUUAUACUGACGUUAAAGCUUGAACACUAUCAUUUAGUACUCUUUGAUCAAGCCUAAAAACCUUGGGUGUGUACCAGAAAAGGUUUUAGAAUUGUAAAAAGAAAGACAAACUAGUAAAGGUUAAGAAGAGACAAAGCAUUCAAGCAUUUGAAAUUUAAAGCAAAAGGUUGGAAAAUAGAGUAAUUAAGCAAUAACAUCACAAUCUCCUGCUCUGUAGCUAUAUUGUUAAGUGACAGUUCAAACUGUUUUGCUUUUCAAAAGUCUCUCUUGUGGAAAAUGCUGUCCGCUACCCCAAAAUAAAAGUCAAGAGUCGUCAAAAAGUAUAUAAAUAAAUAAAUAAAUAAAGGUUAAGAAGGGACAAAGCAUUUUACUCAACAUGUUCGACUUGUUAAAAAAGUGUCUCUAGUGGAAAAUCUUUUAGGCCUGGCCGGUGGAUUUGGUGGGUUACAUUUAUAAUGUUGAAUUUGAGAUUUUCCAUAUUCUCACAAUUUAUAGGAAUUUAACUUUAUUAAUUCUAAAUUGACAAUAACCCUUUUUUUUAUGAAUACUGAUUUGAUGAAAUGCAUGGAAAAAUUGCAAAUGAAUUUUAAGUCAUUUGUUUGGUAUUAUCUUUUACAAGCAAAAUCAAACUUGAUAUCCCUUUUUUUUUUUUGGGUAAUUCAUUGGUGGUAAUUUAUUAUUUUCUAUAGGUAUAAUAUUUAAAAAAAUGUCUAAACUAUUUAAGAAAAUUUAAAUAAGUCUUUAUAGUUUUAUUGUGUUCAAUCAAAUACUUAUAUUUUUUUUAAACCAAAUAAGUUUUUAUAUUUUAUUUUUUAAAUCAAAUAAGCUUUUAUGAUUAAUGAUGGAUUUAAUAAAAAAAUAAAAAAAUUUUGAAUAUAGUUCAAAGGCUUGUUUUAGCAUUAUGCUUUUUUUCAUAUUUAAAUCAUCUGCCAUCUCAUAUUUGGAGUCAUUGUUUAAUAUUAUCUUUUAUAAGCGAAACCAAAAUUGAUAUCCUUUUCGCAUUUUUUGUUUGUUAUAAUCUUGACUUUCUUUUCAAAAUGAAUUCAUGUAUAUGAUCUUAUAUUUCUUUUUUUGGUGAAAUUAUAUUUUGAUCACUAUUAUAAAAUAUUUUACACUACCAUUCUUGCAUUCAUUGCUUGAAUUGUGAUGAUCAUAUAUAUGAAAUUUCGGAGGUCUAUAUCAAUACUAAUAACGUGAAUAACAAGCAUUGAUAAUUAAUUAACGAUCUACUUUCCACGCUCUACCAAAACACAGGACUCUGAGAAUUGAUUAAGGGGGGACCAAUGUGAAGAAAAAGCAGUCUGAGGUAUGAUAAAUUGUUGUGAUUUCCAGCAGAAAUUCGUAUGUUUUGCACUGACUUUGUCUUCGUGUUAUAAUGCUAUGGUAAGUUUGCAUUAUGGAGCAUGCAAUUAUUCCAAGUUUAAUUGAAGCAAGAAUGUGCUUGGAAAUUUUGCAUUGAUGUUGAGGCUUGAACAGUAUCAUUGACUCUUUGAUCAAGGCUAAAAAGCUUGGGCGUGUCUACCCCAUACUAAGUACAUGAAUAGAGGUUAAGGGACAAAAUAGCAAUCUACCAUCAACUUAUUGCUUCAUCAAUAAAAUUGAAGAGCAAUGAGUACUAUUUUAAUGCUUUUGUUUUUCAGUCUAGUUACUGUCAACAUUAGUUUCAAUGAGGGUUGUAUUGAGAGUGAGAGACAAGCCCUUUUCAUGUUCAAACAGGAUCUCAUAAAUCAUGCAAAUCGGUUGGCUUCUUGGACAGUUGAUAAAGAUUGUUGUGAUUGGGUUGGAGUUGUUUGUGACAAUGUGACUGGCCAUGUGCUUCAACUCCAUCUUACAAAUCCACUAUCUUCUCCGGGAAAUCUUUAUGCCCGUGAUGCUGACUAUGAGGCCUUUGAAAGGUCAAAGCUAAGAGGUAAGAUAAACCCUUCUUUGCUCAUGCUGAAGCAUUUGAAUUAUUUGGACUUAAGCAACAAUGCGUUUGAAGGUAUUCCCAUUCCCAAGUUCUUGGGUUCUAUUGAGAGUUUAAGAUAUCUUAAUCUCUCUCACGCUGGAUUUAAAGGAUUAGUUCCUCAUCAACUCGGAAAUCUAUCGAGUUUACAGAUUCUUAAUCUUGCCGAUGAUGAAGGUUAUCUCUAUGUUGCCAAUCUCCAAUGGUUGUCUGGUCUUUCCUCGUUAGAACACCUUGAUUUGAGUAAUGUGAGCCUUAUAGAGGUUUCCAAUUGGUUGAAAGUGGUAAAUACACUUCCUUCCUUGCAGGAACUAUAUUUAUCAGGCUGUCAACUUCCUCAGGUUCCUCCACCCGCAAAUCUUAAUCUGUCAUCUCUUACAAUUCUCGAUCUUUCUUCCAAUUCUCUUGAAAAUACCUUGGUCGACUUUAGCUGGAUAUUUCAGCUCAAGUCCCUAGUUUCCCUUGAUCUGAGUGGUAAUAAUUUCCAAGGAUGUAUAUUUGAUGGCCUUGAAAACAUGACUUCUCUUACGCACCUUGAUCUUUCAGAUAACUCUUUUAAUUCUUCAAUACCUGACUGGUUGUAUAAUCUUAACUCUCUUCAAUUUCUUAGCCUUAGAUUUAACUACUUGCAAGGUUUAAUUUCAAGUGCCGUAGGAAACAUGAGUUCUGCCAUUAGCCUUGACUUCUCAGGGAAUGAACUUGAAGGAAAGAUUCCAAGAUCAAUGGGAAAUCUUUGUAACUUAAAAUCAAUUGAUUAUUCAGGUGUGAAUUUAAGUCAAGAUAUAUCUGACAUUUUAGAAAGUUUAUCGGGAUGUGUUUCUAAACAACUUGUUUUCUUGGGUUUAAGUGGGUGUCAACUUUCUGGUCAAUUAAGUAACCGACUUGUGAACUUUAAGAAUUUGAAAGAACUUUAUUUGUUUAAUAACUCAAUCUCGGGUCCGAUUCCGUUGUCCAUAGGACAACUUUCGUCCUUGAGCGUUUUAUUUCUUGGUCGGAACAAAUUAACUGGCCAACUUCCCGAGUCAGUUGGACGACUUGCAAAUUUGGAAAUAUUUUCUUUUUCUCAUAAUUUAUUAAGCGGGGUUGUUUCAGAAAUUCACUUUGACAAUCUUACAAAAUUGAAACUGUUAUUGGCUUCUGGGACCCCACUUGUUUUAAAAGUCCGUCCUAAUUGGAUUCCUCCUUUUCAACUCACAACUUUGAAAUUAAGAUAUUGGCAUGUAGGUCGGCAGUUUCCUCUGUGGCUUCAUUCACAAAAAUAUUUAAGAUAUGUAGAUAUCUCUAACUCAGGAAUUUCGGAUAGCAUUCCUAGUUGGGUUUGGAAUUCACCCUUCCAAAUUUAUUAUUUGAAUCUCUCUCACAACCAAAUCCAUGGGCAGAUUCCUGAUAUACCUAGGACUGCAUUUGUUGAUUCUGUCAUUGACCUUAGUUUUAAUAGUUUUAGUGGUCCAUUACCUCAAGUCUCUUCCAACGUGUCUUUUCUAGACCUCUCCAAUAAUCUUUUGUUAGGAUCGCUCUUCCACCUUUUGUGUUAUAAGUUGAAGGAGACCAUGAGAAUCAAAAUUCUUAAUCUUGGUGAAAAUUUUUUGUCUGGGGAGAUUCCAGAUUGUUGGAUGAAUUGGCAAAACUUAAGGAUCUUAAAAUUAGAUAACAACAGUCUUACCGGAAGAAUACCUAACUCUAUAGGAAUUUUACAGUCCCUUCAAUUAUUGCAUCUUAAUGGAAACCACCUCUCCGGAGAAAUUCCAUUGUCACUGAAAAAUUGCACAAAUUUGAUGCUACUUGAUUUUGAUGACAAUGAAUUCCAUGGGCACAUCCCUAAAUGGCUAGGCCAUGGCUUUCCAAAGCUAAAAGUCUUGAUCCUUCGUUCAAACAAGUUUUCAGGGUACAUACCAGAUCAAUUGUGCGUUCUGGAUUCUCUCCAAGUCUUGGACCUUUCUUAUAAUGAUCUCUUCGGAAGUUUACCAAGAUGUUUAAGUAACUUUAGUGCCAUGGUAGAAACCAGCGGUACUACGGAAACUUAUACAUCUCUUGCUCCGUUAAUUGUGAUGAAAGGUCAAAUCCUAGACUAUCAAAUUCUUUCUCGCAUUUUUGUUGCAUCAAUUGUGAUGAAAGGUCAAAUGCUAGAGUAUAGCACAACUCUUGACUUGGUCAGAUGCAUAGAUUUCUCUAACAACAAUUUAUCAGGAGAAAUCCCCGUGGAAGUAACAAACUUAUUAGGAUUGGGGUCAUUGAAUUUAUCAAAUAAUCUUUUGACCGGAACAAUACCGAAAAAUAUUGGCGUGAUGAAGUCACUAGAAUCGGUUGAUUUCUCUCUCAACAAAUUGUCUGGUCCAAUUCCUGAAAGCAUCUCAACGUUGACAUUUUUGAACCACUUGAACUUGUCUUACAACAACUUGAUCGGACAAAUUCCUUCGAGCACUCAGUUACAAAGCUUGGAGCCGUCCAACUUUAUUGGCAACCAACUCUGUGGAUUGCCACUUCCAAACAAGUGUUCUGCGAAUGGUACAAUUCAGAAUACUAGAAAUGGAAGAGGAGAAAAUGAUAAGGGAUUUGUUACGGAUUGGUUCUGGUUCGGCAUGGCAUAUGGAUUUGUGAUUGGCUUUUGGAGUGUGUUUUUGCCUUUGGUGAUUGAUAGGCAACGGUGGAGGUUCAUAUAUGCACUCUUCACUUUUCAAAAAAAUUUGGGAAAUCGAUAACUUUGUAAGUACAUGUCUCUGGUUAAUUUCUAUUUAUGUUUACCACGUAACGAUUUAAAUGAACAAGUUAAUUUCAUAUAUAAUUGAAAAUUAUUAAUUUCUUUAUUACAUGUUUAUUGCUCUACUUACAGAAGUUAAAGAGUUAUGGUAAAUUUAGUUUGCACAAUCACUUGUUUUAACAGAUGAAUAUUUGUUCUUUCUUUUGAACUUCUCAUGCCAACGCAGAGUUCAACAAAGUUAUGUAGUGUUCUUCAACUCUGACGACCCACAUCUGGAGGGCAGACUCUUGUGCUAGGGAACUUCUUGUUGAAGUUAAUGCUUGCUUUGCCAAGUGGACCUUGUGACGUGGAAAUCCACUUGGACCUCAUGCGCCACAGUGCAUGUUUUUGCUGGUUUGAAGACUCAACGUGGUCGUAUGCAUGGGAUCCAUUUCAUGGUGCUUUACACUUGUUAAUCUCCAAAGAACAAGUGUUUUUAUGUGAAUCUUCUGAUGUAAUUGCUUGUUUAAGUUCUGUUUGUAAUAUAGUGUGUGUAAGCUGUUUUUAAGUCUCUGUUUUAGUGCUCCAUAACAGAGCACAUGUUGAAUAAAAGACCAUCUGUUGUUUCCUUAUUUUUCACAACACUUCUGCACCAGGUCACGGAAUGUACAUUUGUACCCCUUUUCAGAUUUUUGCUAAUUUGUUUAGUUGUGAUUUUAAACUUGUAGUAUUUAGUUGUUUGUAGCAAAAGUAAUUUGGCAUUGCUUCUUUGUGUUUGGAAAUGAAAAAUUAUUUAAGAACAAAAAGAAGAGUAACUCAAAAACAUAGGGAGAUGAUGGUGUAAAUCCAUAUAGCAAAGCCAUUUCCGUUGUCAGAUUGACACUCUACAUAUAUAUAUUUUCUUCUAUAGCAUUUUAAAUGUAAAAUAUGCAAAUAAUCAAUUCAGUGAUCGAAUAGAGUUUAGAACAAUCAAUUGUGUACCAAUUAAAUAAGAUAAAUAACUUACUUUGGUGGAGAGCAACUCAAGACUAGCGAAUGGCCCGUAAUUUUACAUCGUUAUCUGAAUUUUCUAUUUUCUAUAUCUUCUUCUUCUAGUCUCUAAUUCUAAAUGAAUCACCAAAUUGGCAGAUAUCAUGUGUGGAUCCUAAGUUUUUAAUAUUGAAAAUCAUUUGGGGAACCAUGCAAUCUCUUAUCCUUAAUUGUCACUGAUUCUCUGAAUUGCUCUGGAUUCUGAAAUUUUGCAGCAUUAUUAUGUGGUUAUUUCUCCAAAAAUGCAUGAGCUUCCUUGACAAGUCCAUUUCUUAUCAACCCCAACAACAUUGAGUUCAAUGAUUUACAACAUUUUGUAGGCAUUUCCAUUGAACAACGCAAAGCAUUUACUAUUCCUAAGCAAUCCAUGAAUCCAAAUCUUUCUCAGGCAUUUCCUGAAACAAUAUUCCCGCCUUUCCAACACACUCAAACCCUACAUAACCCUCUAGCAUCACAUUCCAUGCACGAACAUCCUUGAGAGUGAGAGACAAGCUCUCUUUAUGUUUAAACAAGAUCUCAUAGAUCAAGCAAACUGGUUGGCCUCUUGGACUCUUGACGAAGAUUGUUAUGGGUGGGUUCGAGUUGUUUGUGACAAUGUGACUAACCAUGUGCUUGAGCUCCAUCUUAGAAAUCCAUUAUCUUCCCGGAUUUUUAUGCUAGUGCUGUUGAACUUGAAGCCUUCGAGAGGUCAAAGUUAAGAGGUUAGAUAAACCCUUCUUUACUCAAACUGAAGCAUUUGAGUUUUUUAGACUUAAGCAACAAUGCAUUUGAAGGUAUUCCCAUUCCCCAGUUCUUGGCUUCAAUCGAGAGUUUAAGAUGCCUUAACCUUUCCAGCGCUGGAUUGGAGGAUUAGUUCCUCGUCAACUUGGAAAUAUCUCAAGUUUACAGCAUCUUAAUCUUUAUGCUGGUGAUGAAUAUAAUCUCCAUGUUGCCAAUCUCCAGUGGUUGUCUGGUCUUUCUUCAUUAAAACACCUUGAUUUGGGUAAUGUGAACCUUACAAAGGCUUCCAAUUGGUUAAAAGUGCUAAACACACUCCCUUCCUUGAAGAAAUUAUAUUUGCCAGGUUGUCAACUUCUUCAGGUUCCUCCACCCAUAAAUCUUAAUCGAUCCUCUCUUGCAAUUCUUGACCUUUCUUCAAAUUCUUUUGAGAAUGCCGGCGUGGUCGACUUUAGCUGGAUAUUUCAUCUCAAAUCUCUAGUUUCUCUUGAUUUGAGUCAUAACGAUUUGAAAGGACGAGUAUUUGAUGGCCUAGCAAACAUGACCUCUCUUAGGCACCUUGAUCUUUCAUUUAACGCUUUUAAUUCUUCAAUACCUGAGUGGCUGUAUAAUCUUAACUCUCUUCAAUUUCUUAACCUUGGCUCUAACAGCUUGAAAGGUUUAAUUUCAAGUGCUAUAGGAAAUAUGAGUUCUGCCAUUAGCCUUGACUUUUCAGAGAAUGAACUUGAAGGAGUAAUUCCAAAAUCAAGGGGAAAUCUUUGUAAUUUAAAGUCAAUCGUUUUUACGAGUGUGAACUUGAGUCAAGAUGUAUCUGAUGGUUUAGAAUUUUUGUCAGGAUGUGUUUCUAAACAACUUGAUGUACUGGAUUUAAGUAGGUGUCAACUAUCUGGUCAAUUAACUAAUAGACUUGAAAACUUUAAGAAAUUGAAGAUAUUUUAUUUGAAUAAUAACUUAAUUUCUGGUACCAUUUCAUUGUCCAUAGGAGAACUUUCGUCGUUAAGGGUUUUACGCCUUGGUCAGAACAAAUUGAUAGGGCACCUUCCCGAGUCAUUUGGACAACUUGCAAACUUGGAAAAAUUUUAUAUUUCUAAUAAUUGGUUAAGGGGUGUUGUUUCAGAAAUUCACUUUGGCAAUCUUACAAAAUUGAAAAUCUUAACUGUUUCAGGGAACCCAAUGUUUUUAAAUGUCAGUCUUGAUUGGGUUCCUCCUUUUCAACUGGAAAUCUUAGGAUUGAGAUCUUUGCAUGUAGGGUGGCAGUUUCCUCUGUGGCUUCGUUCACAAAAAUAUUAAUAGCUCUAGAUAUCUCUAACUCAACCAUUUUAGAUAGCAUUCCUAGUUGGUUUUGGAACUCACCCUUUCAAAUUCAAUAUUUCAAUCUCUCUUACAACCAAAUCCAUGGGCAGAUUCCUGAUAUACCUAGGACUGCAUUUGUUGAUUCCAUCAUUGAUCUUAGUUUUAAUCAUUUUAGUGGUCCUUUACCUCAGGUCUCUUCCAACGUGUCUUUUCUAGACCUCUCCAAUAAUUUUUUGUUAGGAUCUCUCUUCCCUCUUUUGUGUUAUAAGUUGAAGGAGACCAUGAGAACCAAAAUUCUUAAUCUUGGUGAAAAUUUUCUAUCCGGGGAGAUUCCAGAUUGUUGGUUGAAUUGGUAAAAUUUGGUGAUCUUAGAUUUAAAUAACAACAAUUUUACAGGAAGAAUACCAAGUUCUACGGGAAUUUUACAUUCUCUUCUAUCAUUGCAUCUUCAAAAAAAUCACCUUUCUGGAGAAAUUCCAUCUUCACUGAAAAAUUGCACAAUUUUGAUGCUACUUGAUUUUGGUGAGAACGAAUUAUAUGGGCACAUCCCAAAAUGGCUAGACCAUAGUUUUCAAAAGCUAAAAGUCCUGAGGCUUCGCUCAAACAAGUUUUCAGGGUACAUACCAGAGCAAUUGUGCGCUGUUGAUUCUCUCCAAGUCUUGGACCUUGCUUAUAAUAAUCUCUUCGGAAGUUAACCAAGAUGUUUAAGUAACUUUAGUGCCAUGGUAAAAGCGAGUGGUUCCAAGGACAUUGAUACAUCUCUUGCUGCAUCAAUUGUGAUGAAAGUUCAAAGGCUUCUCCUUAUAACUAUUUUCCGUACUUUGCUGCAUCAAUUGUAAUGAAAGGACGUCGAAUGCUUGAGUAUAGCACAACUCUUGACUUGGUCAGAAGCAUAGAUUUCUCUAACAACAAUUUAUCAGGAGAGAUCCCCGUGGAAGUAACAAGCUUAUUGGAGUUGCUGUCAUUGAAUUUGUCACAUAAUUUUUUGACCGGACCAAUACCUAAAAAUAUUGGCGAGAUGGAAUUUUUAGAAUCGGUCGAUUCCUCUUUCAACAAAUUGUCUGGUCCAAUUCCCAAAAGCAUAUCAACUUUGACAUUUUUGAACCACUUGAACUUGUCUUACAACAACUUGAUUGGACAAAUUCCUUCAAGCACUCAGUUACAAAGCUUGGAUUCGUCUAGCUGCGUCGGCAACCAACUCUGUGGAUUGCCACUUCCAGACAAGUGUUCCACAAAUGGUGCAAUUCAUGACAUUGAAAAUGAAAGUGGAGAAAGUGACAACGGAUUUGAAACGGAUUGGUUCUGGUGUGGUAUGGCAUAUGGAUUCGUUAUUGGCUUUUGGGGUGUGAUUGGUCUUCUGCUGCUGGGUCCUUUCAACUUUUCAAACAAAUUCAGAAAAUCAAUAACUCUGUAAGUAUAUGUCUCUAAUGAAUUUCCAUAUAUUUAUUUCUCACAAACAUAGAGUAAGUUUUUGCUAUGUAUCAUUUUAAUUGAACAAGUUAAUUUCAUCCACUUACAGAAGUUAAGGGUUAUGGCAAAUUUAGUUUUCACAAUCACCUGUUUAAACAGAUGAACAUUUGUUGUUUCUUUUGAACUUCUCAGUCUAAUGCUUUCUUUGUUUUCUUUAUCUUAUGACAGCUAAAAGGCUCUAUUUGGUUAGUUGUUCAACAAAAUCAUGCAAAGUUCUUCAACUGGGCAGACUCAUAUAUCUAAAACCUUCUGCACCAGAUCAUGGAAUGCAGAUUUGUACCCCUUUGAGAGUUUUACUAAUCAGUUUAGGUGUGAUUUUGUAGCAAAGUAAUUUGGCAUUGUUUCUUUAUUUUUGGAAUUGAAAAAUUAUCUAAGAGCAAAAAGAAGAAUAACUCCAAAAUAGAGAGACACGGUCAGGGGCAAAGCUAACCAAUUUUUGUUGAGGGGUCAAAGGCAAGAGAAUAAAAGUUAAAAAUUUAAAAAACUAAUAUGUUGAACUUAAUCAAUAAUCAAAAUAUUAAUAAUAAAAAAUAAUUUUAUAUAAUAUAUAAAUAAAGAAAAGAGAGACUUACAAUAAUUUUUUAAGAAAGUUGUUUUCGACCAUAUUUCUUGAAUUCAAAUUCAUUAAUUAUUAAUUAUGUACUGAAAAACAUCUAUUUCUUAACAAUUGAGUUUUGGACAUUUUGAAUCGCAUUGCUCUUGCUUAUAAGUUGAAGCAUUGAGGCUUGGUAGUUCAAGUGUAGGAAAAUCAUUUAGACGAUUUACAUAUUUUCUUUUAAAGAAUUUAUCAAUUAUUUUCAACUUACUAAUACUUUAAUCAAAAUUAAAAAAAAUUAAUAUAAUCAACUUUUAAUAUUUUUAUUUUAUUUCUAUUUAAACUUAUAAUACUAAAUAUAAAACUAUAAUCCAUAAAAUAUAAUUAAUUAAAUACGAUAUACAUGAUUAAUAAUUUUUUUAUAUAAUUAGGAUUUUUAAAGACUAUAUAUUCAAAAUAAUUUCCUUUCAUCUAAAUAUAAAACAUAAAACAUAUAAAAAAAGAUAGAUUCAAGAUAAUUUUCUCUUACAUAAUUAGAGUUCAUAAAAAUAGCUACAUUAAUGAAAUUUUUAACAGCAAUGCUACACUACAAUUUAUUUGAAAACUACAUAUAAUUUAUUAAUUUUUAAAGAUUAAAAUUAUAGAAAAUAAAAUCCACUUAAUAAGAAAAAAAUGAUAAGUAAAAGAUAGAACCCAUAUAUAAUAUAAGAAAAAAAGAAUAUGGUUGAUGGUUUGUAGAAAUUUAGAAAAAAAAUCUAUAAAAACUUAAAACAUAUGAACAAAUAGUAUAAACAAAUAUAAAUAAAAAUAAUAACAUAAAUUGAAAGCAGAAAAAAAAUUUAAAGUUGAACAAGACAUGCGGAAUUUUUUUUUAUUCUUUAUUUAUAUUAAUUAUUAAAUAAUAAUUAUUUUGGGGGUAUGAAGAGAUUAUAUUAAAAUUUUUUAAAAUUUUAUAUGUUAUAAAAAAAAUUUAAAAAUUUUUGGGGAGCCAAAGUUAAAGGAGGCUCCGCCCCUAGACACGGUGGUGUAAAUCAAUAUAGCAAAGCCAUUUCCAUUGUCAGAUUGAAACUCUUAAUUUGUUUCCUUCUAAACCAUUUUAAAAGUAAAAGAUGCAAAUAAUAAAUUGUAUAGCCAUUAAAUAAAUUAAAUAACUGACUUUGGUGGCGAGCAAAUCAGCACUAGAAAAUCAUGCGAAUAAUUUUACAUCUUUAUCUGAAUUUUCUAUUUUCUAUAUCUUCUUCUCGUCUCUAAUUCUAAAAGAAUCACCAAAUUGGCAGAUCUUCAUAAGUGGAUCCUAAUUACUAGUACAAUUUUUUGAAACUUGAAAAUCAUUUGGGGAACUACGCAAUUUCUUAUCCUUAACUAAUUAUUGCCACUGAUUCUCUGAAUUGCUCUGGAUUCUGAAAUUUUACAGCAUUAUUAUAUGGUUGUUUCUCCAAAAUGCAUGAGCUUCCUUGACAAGUCCAUUUCUUAUCAACCCCAACAACAUUGAGUUCAAUGUUUUAAUUACAACAUUUCGUUGGCAUUUCCAUGAAAUAACGCAAAGCACCUAUUAAUCGUCUACUUUUAACCAAUCCACUCACCAAUAAUUUCCAUGAAUCCAAAUCCUUGUCAGGCAUUUCCUGGAACAAAAUUUCUGCCUUGUCAACACACUCAAAUCCUACAUAACCCUCUAGCAUCACAUUCCAUGCACGAACAUCCUUGACUGGCAUCCCUUCAAAGAAUUUACAAGUGUCAGCAUCCUUCCGGCUUUUGCAGACCCUGAAAUCAUAACAGUCCAAGAAGCAACAUGUCUAUGACUCAUUCUUUUAAAAUACUCCUCAGCCAAAUCAAAAUUUUCACACUUCACAAGCCCUUCAAUCACCAAGUUCCAAGAUAUAACAUUAUUUCCUGGCAUCUCCUCAAACACAUUCAACCCACCUCCUCCAACAUUCCAUUCAUAAAAUACCCUCCAAGCAUUGCAUUCCACGUCACCACAUCUCUACAGGCCAUCCCUUCAAAAACUCCACUUGCACCUUCCACAUCAUGACCAUGCAUGAGCCCAGAUAUCACAGUGUUAUACGUAAAAAUAUCACGUUCUGGCAUUUGAUGGAAUAAAGCCGAGGCUUUGCUUAAAAAACCAUUGAGAAAAUACCCACCAAUCAUUGAAUUCCAGGUGACAACGUUUUUGCGAGGCAUUUUGUCAAACGGGUUCUGGGCUUCUUGGAUAACCCCAUUUUUCCUGAAAUUUGAGAUUUUGGAGUUGUGGGGUUUAAGGUUGGAGACUGUUGUGGAUAUUUGGUUGCUUUGAACGAAUGUUGGGGCCGAAAAAGAGAGGUGUCUGGCGAGUUUUAUGCGAAAAGUUGGGUUUAGUUUAGGAUUGAACAUGCCCAAACCCAGAGAGCCAAAGAAAGGUGAACAAGAUUGAUAAAAGAAAAGAGUGAGCAAUAUAAAAGAAAAGGGUUUAGUUCACGACCGUACUCGUGUCAAUCAAGAAUUGGCUAGCAUAUAUAUUUGCAAAACAACCAACUGAACCUCAGGUUGAAUAUGUUAAAUGACUAGGCAACACCCGUAAGGAUUGUUUGGUACUAUUUUUUACAAAAUAAAACCAAGUUUAGAUAUUUCAUUUAUUAUAAAUCGUCAUUUUUUAUUUUUAAAUUAUGUUUGGUUUCAUACAUUUUUUUAGGUAAAGUUAUGUUUCCAUCAUUAUUUUAAAAUAUUAAUAUAUAUAAUAAUGAUUAAAUAUGUAAAUAAGCUCUCAAAUUAUAUAUAAAAAGUUAAUUCAGCUCCUAUCAUUUUAUUACAUUUAAAUAAAUCAUUGAAUUCUUAUAUUAAGUUAAAUAAGCCUCUUUCACUAAUAGGUGACUAGUCAACCAUAUAAUCUGUAAUUUUUGAUGCCACGUCAUUUGCCAUGUGACAUGUUGACGUAUCAUUUUGAUGAUGUCAAUGCCACGUAGCAUAAAAAAUUGUUAACUAAGAAUUGAGUUUUUUCUUUUUUAUCCAUCCAAAUAUCCAAAAAUUAUUAGUUGGGGAUUUGGAACAAAAAACUAAAAAAAACGUAAUUGCUUCAAACUGAUUACCAUCGUUUUUUAACUAAUUAUGAUCUUCUUAAUUAAAACCACCUUUCCUAACAAAAAAAUCUAAUCCAAAUUUUCCAAUUUGAUUAAAGCUAUUGUUGCUCGACUGAAAAUUGGUACAUAGAAAUUUGAGAAUACUCAGAUACGAUUUUAAGAAGAAUAAGUUAAUAAUAGAUUCUCUCUUCACAUCUUUCAUAGUUUUUGGAAAUUCAAAACUAUCAAAAAGAACAAUUUUUAGAUGAGGAAUAGGAAUUGCAUAUAGAGAGAGGACAUUCUGACUAUAAGAGACAUUGGGUCUAGGGAAUGUUGAAGAAAGUGAAUAUUUCUUUGUGGGCAACAAUGACUUUAAUUGAACUAGAAAAGUUGGAUUAGGUUUUUUUGUUAAAAAUGAGUGCUUCAAUUAAGAUCGUAAUUAGUUAAUAAAUAAUGGUAAGCAAUUUGAAGCAAUUAGUUUUUUUUUUUUAAUUUUUUGUUUCAAAUCCCUAACUAAUAAUUUUCGGAUAUUUAGAUACAUAAAAGGGGAAAAACUCAAUUCUUAGUUAAUAGUUUUUUAUGUCAUGUUAUCUGUCAUAUGACAUUAAUGUCAUCAAAAUGACACAUCAACAUGCUACGUGACGUGGUAUAAAAAAUUACUAAUAGUACCAUUGCCUAACUUUCUUAAUCAACAGUUAAUGAAAGAGGUUUAUUUAACUCAAAACAAAAGUUCGGAGAUUUAUUUAGACACAAUAAAAAGAUAAAGAUUAAAUAAACUAUCUUGAUAUAAUUUGAGAAUUUAUUUAAAUAUUUGGUCUAAUAUAUAUAAUUUUGAAAAACUAUAUGUUUACGAAUAACUUGAAUAUCAAGGCAUUGGUAAUUAAUCAACAAUCUAUGGCCCACAUAAACAAGACCAAGACUUAGAGAAUUGAUAAAAAGAGGCUAACGUGUAGAAAGAGCAGUCCGAGAUAAGACAAACUAAGAAUUUCGCAAGAAAAGUAUAUGUUUUGUGUUGACUUUAUCUUCUUUGGGUAAGCCUGCAUCAUGGAGCGAAAAUGUUGUUGGAAAUUUUAUACUGCUGUUGAAGCUUGAACUCUAUCAUUUAGUACUCUUUGAUCAAGCCUAAAAACCUUGGGUGUGCACCAAGAAACGGUUUAGAAUUGUAAAAGGAAAAACAAACUAAUAAAGGUUAAGAAGAGACAAAGCAUUAAAGCAUUUGAAAUUGAAAGCAAAAGGUUGGAAAAUAGAGUAAUUAAGCAAUAACAUCAUAAUCUCCUGCUCUGUAGCUAUAUUGUUAAGUGACAGUGCAAACUGUUUUGCUUUUCAAAAGUCUCUUGUGGAAAAUGUUUUAGGCGUGACUGAUGGGUUAGACUUUUAAGGUGGAAUUUGAGAUUUUCACAUCCCCACAUUUUAUAGGAUAUUAACCUAUUAAUUAUAAUAAAUGCAUUAUUCAUGCACGCAUUAUGAAAAUUAACUUUAUUAAUUCUAAAUUCGCAAUAACCCUAGUUUUUUUUAUGAAUAUUGAUUAGAUCAAAUGCAGCAUUAAUUAGAAUAUAUAUUUGCAAAACAACCCACUAAACCUCAAGUUGAAUUAUGUUUAAUCAACAGCUUAAAAAUCACAAUAAAAGUACGGAAAAACCAGAAUGCAUGUAAAGAUUGCAAAUGAGUUUUAAGUCAUUUGUUUAGUAUUAUCUUUUACAAGCGAAAUCAAAGUUGAUAUCUUUUUUUUCACGAUAAUUCAUUGGUGGCAAUUUAUUACUUUUUACAGGCAUAAUAUUUAAAAAAACCUCUAAAUUAUUCACAAAAGUUUAAAUAAGUCUUUAUAUUUUUAUUGUGUUCAAUUAAAUUUUUUUAUUUUUAUUAUAAACUAAAUAAAUCUUAUAUUUUUAUUUUUGAGUCAAAUAAACCCUUAUAACUAAUGAUAGAUUUAAUUAAAAUGUCACUUGUCAUUCCAUAUCAUGUGAUGUUGAUGUGGCACAGAGCCUCCUUAAGCUUAAAAUUUUUAAAAAAAUUUUCAUAUUUUAUAAAAUUUUUAAUUUUUUUUAUAAAUUUUUUUAGUUUCCUCCCCAAAAUAACUUUUUAUUUAAUAAUUAAUGCAAAUAAAAAAUAACAAAAUGAUUCCACUCAAUUUUAAAGUUUUUUUUAUUUUUUAAUUGAUAUUAUUAUUUUUAUUUAUUUUUCUCAUUUCUAUUCUAUUUAUUCAUAUAUUCUAAAUCUCUAUAGAUUUUCUUUUACAAAUUUCUACGAACCAUCAACUAUAUUCUUGUUCCUUAUUUUUUAUGAUGUCAUGUGUGGGUUUUAUCUUCUAUUUACCACGUUUUUCUUUUUUUUAUUAUGUGAAUUUUAUUUUUUAUGAUUUUAAUCUUUAAAAAUUAAUAAAUUAUUAUAUAAUUCUUAAAUAUAAAUUGUAGUGUUGCACUAUUAUUUAAAAUUUCAUCAAUGUAUUAUUUUUUAUUUAGAAUAACCAAUGCGUUUUGGCAUGUAUGUUGCAAUUUUAAAUAACAAGAAUAUACAUACAAAUUGAUAGAAUAAAAUGAUUAUAUUUCCUUCAAUAUAAUUUUAUUUAUUAUAUAUAUUUUUAAUAGCCCUCAAAAUAAUUUUUUAUUUAAUUAUUAUUUUUAUUCCUCAUUGUUACAUCAUCAUGUUUGUGCCACAUCAUCAUGUUGGUGCCACAUCAACUCCACGUUAGCGUUGACAUCAUCUCCUUUAACAGUAAAAUUGUACGCUGUUAGAGGGAGGGACUAAAUUGAAGUAAUUCUCAAAAUUAAGAGACUAAUUGCUUCGAUUUUGAGUACAAAAACUAAAUUAAACAAAAUACAUGAGUGUAGGGACUUAAUGAAUAUUUUGACCAUUGCAAAUAGAUUCCAAGUCAUUGUUUAGUACUAUUUUUUACAAAAUAAAAUCAAGUUUAGAUAUUUUAUUUAUUAUAAAUCGUCAUUUUUUAUAUUUAAAUUAUGUGUAGUUUCAUACUUUUUUUUAAGAUAACAUUAUGUUUCCAUCCUUUUAUAUAUAUAUAUAUAUAUAUAUAUUAGAAGACUAUAUCUUUACGGAUAAUUUGAAUAUCAAGACAUUGGUAAUUAAUCAACAAUCUAUUGUCCGCACAAACGAGAUCAAGACUCAAAGAAUUGAUAAAAAAGGAGGCCAACAUGUAGAGAAAAAAGUUCGAGAUAACAAACUGUUGAGAUUGAUUUCAUAUGGAAGUAUCUAACCUAAACUUCUUUGAAGUACAAGAAAAGUAAAGUCCUGAAAUUAUACCUCCUUGAUGAGCAAGUAACCAAUAAGAAAAACUUUAUUUUUGAAAAAUAUUCUAACUGUCUUAGAAUACUUUGUUUGGUUGCCAAGAUGACCCUACAUGUGGACUAACUUGGCAGUCCACACGGGCUGGACUAAUCACGGAUCUCUGGACCGUGACAGGCACCAUGCACCAAUGAAGGUUAAGAAUUGUAGAAAGAAAAACAAACUAAUAAAGGUUAAGAGGGGGCAAAGCAUUAAAGCAUUUGAGAUUUAUGCCAAAACGUUGGAAAAUGGACCAAUUAAGCAAUAACAUCGUAAUCUCUUGCUGUAGCUAUAUUGGCAAGCGACAAUUCAAAUUGUUAUACUUUUCAAAUGUCUCUCUUGUGGAAAAUGUUUCGGGCGUGACUGAUGGGUUAGACUUUUCAUGUUGAAUUUGAUAUUUUUCACAUCGUCACAAAUUUAUGAUAAAUUAGCUUAUUAAUUGAAAAUUUGUAACAGCACUAGUUUUUUAUGAAGAUUGACUAGAUCAAAUGAAAUAUUAAUGCAUCAUGGAAAUUUUAGGCCAUCCCAUCAAAGUUGAUGGUGAAGAGAGUGAGAAAAACUAAUAACAGCAGCACAGGAGUAAAUCAUUUUGGACAUUUUCAAUAAUAAUAAUAAUGAAAGAAUAAAAAACAAUGUCCUUUGAACAAUUAUGAUGGUGGUUCAUUAUUCAAAAGUUAUGUUUAUUCAAAUAAUUAUAUUACAAAAUAAAUAAUUAUGUUUGUUGGAAAAUAGAUAAUUGUGUCUCUAGUAUCGGUUGAUUUCUCUAUUAAUCAAUUGUCUUGUCCAAUUCCUGAAAGCAUGUCAAAUUUGACAUUUUUUAGCCUUUUGAACUUGUCUUACAACAACUUGAUUGGACAAAUUCCUUCCAGCACUCAGUUACAAAGCUUGGAUUCAUCAAAGUUAUGUUGGCAACAACCUUUCUGUAUCCAGACAAGUGUUCUGCAAAAUAUUGAAAAUGGAAUUGGAGAAAAUGACAACAGAUUUAAAGCGGACUGGGUUCUGGUUGGGCAUGAAAUAUGGUCUUUGGAGAGUGUUUUGUUCUUUGGUGAUUAAUAAGCGACAAUGGAGGUCUAUAUAUGCAGUUUUCGCUUUUCAAACAAAUUUGAAAAAUCAGUAACUCUGUAAGUAUAAAAAACAGAGUUAUGAGGUUCUAUUUCUAAAACUCUCUCAGCAGCUAUCACCGCCACCCCAAUUUUAUUGUGGAUUCCAUUCCGCAGGUUCCAAGCAAAGCUCCCCAUAUACUAGCAGGAACUUCAAUCCCAUCUGCUGUCAUUUGAUUAAGAAAACUCAUUGCCUCGUCUAUGAGUCCAGUUCUCCCCCACAGAUCAACAAUACAAGAAUAAUGCUCAGUUGUUGGCUCAAGAGAGCAUUUGUUUUUCAUACAAGUAAAGUAGUAUUUACCUUGUUCUACCUGCCCAGCAUGGCUACGGGCAGAUAAAACACCGAUAAAAGUUAUUUGAUUAGCCUUAACAUCAGUUAAUCUCAUAAGCUCAAACAUCUCGAGACCUUUUUCAGCAUUUCCAUGGUAAGCAAAUCUACAUAUUAUAGAAUUCCAAGAAAUAACAUCAUGGCCGCAGAGUGCAAGCCACCACAACUUUCGUACGUAGUGACCAAUGCAUUAGAAACUGCGGCGAAAAUAUUUAAACCCACCUUAAUUAUCUGUGCAUGACUAUGUUAGAAUUUUCUGUGACGUGGAUUACUAUUAAUUGAUGAUUUUGCUUUAAUGAAAUAGUCGGAUGAUUUAAUCCAUGAAACAAAAUAUGAGAGUCAAAUUAAUAUUAAAGUGAUCAAUUAAUUAUGUGUUUUGCACGUAUUAUUACGCAAGUAUGGUUUGACGGUUGUGUAGAGCUUGACCUAGUAAACCUUUAAUGGGAGACUUUUACUAAAAUUUAUUUUAUUUUAUAUAUAUAUAUGGUUUAGGGGGUAUUCUUUCCUUCUAGCAAACAAUAUUUGUUCAUUAAAAAUAGUCAUAAACAAAGAAAAGUGCGAAGAGAAUAUCUAAUCUUAAUCAGAAAUUCUUAUUUUUUCGCUAUCAAUUGCCCCAACAAUCCAAACAGAUAAACAAUAAAUAGUUUAUGCUUUUAGUGUUUUAAUAUUCACACAUGGAUUUAGGGAUUCAACUUACAGACUCUACUUUCCGAGGUCUAAGCUUGGCAAUUAGAAGAAAUGGUUAAUAUACUAGUAAAUGUAGCUUCAUCAGGGGAGAAACCUGAUUCUUCCAUUCUGAUGAAAAUCUUAAAACCUUCUUGAUCACAACAAUCAGUUUCUCCCAACCCACAUAUGAUGACAUUCCACACAGUUACUUCUUGAAUUGGCAUCAAUUCGAAAACUUUAAUCGCUCUCCUAACCUCACCGAUUUCAAAAUAUCCAACAAUUACAUUCGUCAAAAGCAGAGAGCAAGAGAAAGGCAUAGAAAAAGAGACUGUGCUGGAUGUUCGGUUGCUUUUAAAGAAUGUUGGGCCUGAAAAAGAGAGGUGUCCGGUGGACUGGUGGUCCUAUUUGCUCAGGUUCACGUCAGACCGCACUCGUGUCAAUCAGCUAUUGGUUAAAAUAUAUAUUUGCAAAACAGCCAAUUGAACCUCAAGUUGAAGAUCCUAAAUCAACAUGUAAAACAUCGGAAUAAAACGAAGGAAAAACCAGAAUGCAUGUAAAGAUUGCAAAUGAAAUCAUUAUUAUGAAAAUAUUAUACAUAAAACGAUCUUAUGCAUUUAUUUGUGUGUAUAUGGAAUUUUCGAAGUGAUGAUUAGUCAACAAUCUGUUGUCCACACAAAAAAUUUCACAGACUCAUCAAAUUGAUCAAAAGGAAGACCAACGGAUAGAAAAAGUAGUCCGAGGUAAGACAAACUGUUGAGAUUAAUUUUAAGCAGCAAAACAUAUGUCUUGCAUUGGCUUUGUAUUCAUCUUAUAAUGCUUUUGGUAUGUCUACAUAUGGAAAAAUUAUUCAAGUUUGAUUGGAACAGGAAGCUACUUGGAAAUUCAAUUAUUCAAGUUUGAUUGGAGCAGGAAGUUACUUGGCAAUUCAGUACUAAUGUAAAGGCUUGGGCAGUAUUCUUCCGUGUAUAAAAAGCUUGGGCGUGUCUAUCCCCUACAUAAAAAAAAAGUUAAGAGAAUAAAAUUGAAGAGCAAUGAGUACUAUUUUAAUGCUUUUGUUUCUCAUUAGCAUUAGCUUUUGUAUCAUCAAUUUCAAUGAUGGUUGCAUUGAGAGUGAGAGAGAAGCACUUUUCAUGUUCAAACACGAUCUCAUAGAUCAUGCAAACCGGUUAGCCUUCUGGACUCUUAACGAAGAUUGUUGCGGGUGGGUUGGAGUUGUUUGUGACAAUGUGACUGGCCAUGUGCUUGAGCUCCAUCUUAGAAAUCCGUCAUUAUCUUCUUCGGUAAGUUUUUAUGCCAAUGAUGCUGAAUCUGAAGCCUUUGAGAGGUCAAAGCUAAGAGGUAAGAUAAACCCUUCCUUGCUCAAGUUAAAGCAUUUGACUUAUUUGGACUUGAGCAACAAUGCAUUUGAAGGUAUUCCCAUUCCCCAGUUCUUAGGUUCUAUCGAGAGUUUAAGAUACCUUAACCUCUCUAAUGCUGGAUUUGGAGGAUUAGUUCCUCAUCAACUUGGAAACCUCUCAAGUUUACGGUAUCUUAAUCUUUACGCCGAUGACAAAGAUCAUCUCCAUGUUGCCAAUCUCCAAUGGUUGUCUGGUCUUUCCUCGUUAGAACACCUUGAUUUGGGUAAUGUGAACCUUACAAAGGCUUCCAAUUGGUUGAAAGUACUAAACACACUCCCUUCCUUGGAGAAAUUAUAUUUGUCAGGUUGUCAACUUCCUCAGGUUCCUCCACCCACAAAUCUUAAUCUAUCCUCUCUUGCAAUUCUUGACCUUUCUUCAAUUUCUUUUGAGAAUGGCUUGUUCAACUUUAGCUGGAUAUUUCAUCUCAAAUCUCUAGUUUCUCUUGAUUUGAGUCAAAACAAUUUGGAAGGACGAAUAUUUGAUGGCCUUGAAAACAUGACCUCUCUUAGGCACCUUGAUCUUUCAGUUAACGCUUUUAAUUCUUCAAUACCUGACUGGUUGUAUGAUCUUAACUCUCUUGAAUUUCUUAGCCUUCGCUCUAACAACUUGCAAGGUUUAAUUUCCAGUGCAGUAGGAAACAUGAGUUCUGCUGUUGACCUUGAUUUUUCAUUGAAUGAACUUGAAGGAAAGAUUCCAAGAUCAAUGGGAAAUCUUUGUAACUUAAAGUCAAUCCGUUUUUCACGUGUGAACUUGAGUCAAGAUAUAUCUGAUAUUUUAGCAAUUUUGUCAGCAUGUGUUUCUAAACAACUUGAUAUACUGGAUUUAAGUGGGUGUCAACUUUUUGGUCAAUUAACUAAUCAACUUGUGAACUUUAAGAAUUUGAAGGAACUGUCUUUGUAUAAUAACUCAAUUUCUGGUCCCAUUCCAUCGUCCAUAGGAGAACUUUCUUCCCUAACAGAUUUAGAACUUGAUCAGAACAAUUUGACAGGACACCUUCCUGAGUCAAUUGGACAACUUGCAAACUUGGAAAUAUUUUUUAUUUCUAAUAAUUUGUUAGGGAGUGUUGUUUCAGAAAUUCACUUUGGCAAUCUUACAAAAUUGAAACUCUUAUUUGCUUCUAACAACUCAAUGUUUUUAAGAGUUAGUCCUAGUUGGGUUCCUCCUUUUCAACUCGAAAUAUUAGGAUUGAGAUCUUUGCGUGUAGGUUGGCAGUUUCCUCUGUGGCUUCGAUCACAAAAACAUUUAGAAUAUCUAGAUAUCUCUAACUCAAUGAUUUCAGAUAGCAUUCCUAGUUGGUUCUGGAGUUCAUCCUUCCAAAUUCGCUAUUUCAAUCUCUCUCACAACCAAAUCCGUGGACAGAUUCCUUAUAUAUCUAGCUUUGCAUUUUUUUAUCCUGAUUUUUUUUAUCCUGUCAUUGACCUUAGUUUUAAUAAUUUUAGUGGUCCAUUACCUCGAAUCUCUUCCAAUGUGUCUGUUUUAGACCUUUCCAAUAAUUUUUUCUCAGGAUCUCUUUUCUCUUUUUUAUGUUAUAAGUUGAAAGAGAAUAUGACAACAAAAGUUCUUAAUCUUGGUGAAAAUAUUCUAUUCGGGGAAAUUCCAAAUUGUUGGUUGAAUUGGCAAAAUUUGAUGGUCUUAGAUUUAAAAAGCAACAAACUCACCGGAAGAAUUCCAAGCUCUAUGGGAACUUUGCAUUCCCUUCAGUCAUUGCAUCUUCAAAACAAUAACCUCUCCGGAAAAAUUCCACCGUCGCUGAAAUAUUGCACAAAUUUGGU
rnacentral:lncRNA from 1 species